UACAGGGGGUGCAAACGUUGCUCGGAAUCAUUGGGCGUAAAGCGCACGUAGGCGGCUUCUUAAGUCAGGGGUGAAAUCCUGGAGCUCAACUCCAGAACUGCCUUUGAUACUGAGGAGCUUGAGUCCGGGAGAGGUGAGUGGAACUGCGAGUGUAGAGGUGAAAUUCGUAGAUAUUCGCAAGAACACCAGUGGCGAAGGCGGCUCACUGGCCCGGUACUGACGCUGAGGUGCGAAAGCGUGGGGAGCAAACAGG
rnacentral:rRNA from 1 species